rnacentral:rRNA from 1 species
ACGGCGAGUGAAGCGGCAAAAGCUCAAAUUUUAAAGCUGACAUCUUCGGUGUCCGCGUUGUAAUUUUGUGAGGCAUCUCCGGGUAGGGCGCCGGCCUAAGUUCCUUGGAACAGGACGUCACAGAGGGUGAGAAUCCCGUGCUUGGCUGGCUGUCCCCGUCCAUGUGAGGUGUCUUCGACGAGUCGAGUUGUUUGGGAAUGCAGCUCAAAAUGGGUGGUAAAUUUCAUCUAAAGCUAAAUAUUGGUGGGAGACCGAUAGCGCACAAGUAGAGUGAUCGAAAGAUGAAAAGCACUUUGAAAAUAGAGUUAAAAAGUACGUGAAAUUGUUGAAAGGGAAGCGCUUGAGACCAGACUUCGGUAAGGGGUGAUCAGCCGUCCUUCUGGGCGGUGCACUUGCCCCCCUCCGGGCCAGCAUCGGUUGAGGCGGCGGGAUAAAGGUCCCGGGAAUGUGGCUCCUUCACGGGAGUGUUAUAGCCCGGGUGAAUGCCGCCAGCUUCGACCGAGGACCGCACCCGCAAGGGUUAGGAUGCUU